GAUUUAUAAAGAAGUGGCGAGAGACUGGCUCGAUGACCCACUGGCAACCCUCAGAAAGAGAAGGUGCCAAUUCCUGACCGGAUAACAUGGUGUUAUUUGGAGAUAUAAAUU
rfam:Pedobacter ginsenosidimutans strain KACC 14530 contig71, whole genome shotgun sequence.